AUAUUGCGCAAUGGAGGAAACUCUGACGCAGCGACGCCGCGUGAGCGAUGAAGGUCUUCGGAUCGUAAAGCUCUGUCCUUGGGGAAGAAGAUCGAUAGAUUUGACGGUACCCGAUGAGGAAGCCCCGGCUAACUACUUGCCAGCAGCCGCGGCAAUACGUAGGGGGCAAGCGUUGUCAGUAAUUAUUGGGCGUAAGGGGUGGGCAGGCGGCGUUUUAAGGCAGAUGUGAAAGACCAAGGCUUAACCGUGGGGUUGCAUUUGAAACUGGAAGGCUUGAGUAUCGGAGAGGGUAGUGGAAUUCCCAGUGUAGCGGUGAAAUGCGUAGAUAAUGGGAGAAACACCAGUGGCGAAGGCGACUACCUGGACGAAAACUGACGCUGAUGCACGAAAGCUAGGGGAGCAAACA
rnacentral:rRNA from 1 species